rnacentral:tRNA from 1 species
AGUUUUAUAGUCAUUAUAAAUGAUAUUAAAUUGCAAAUUUAAAGGAAUAAGUUAAUAUUAAGACUU